UACGUAGGGGGCAAGCGUUAUCCGGAUUUACUGGGUGUAAAGGGGGCGCAGACGGCAGCGCAAGCCAGGAGUGAAAGCCCGGGGCCCAACCCCGGGACUGCUCUUGGAACUGCGUGGCUGGAGUGCAGGAGGGGCAGGCGGAAUUCCUGGUGUAGCGGUGAAAUGCGUAGAUAUCAGGAGGAACACCGGUGGCGAAGGCGGCCUGCUGGACUGCAACUGACGUUGAGGCCCGAAAGCGUGGGGAGCAAACAGG
rnacentral:rRNA from 1 species